GAAGGAGCAAGACCUAUCACUGUAACUCUUAAGAGUACAUAAGAAAAGAUUUAGUUAAAGAUUUUCUUUUCCAAUUGCAGCUCUGAAUUUACUGUUCAGAUAGGACUGUUCGGAGUGGAAGUUUGCUUUCAACCUCCUUCACUUCUGCAUUUCUUUCAGCAACAACUUUCGACAAUCCAAACAUCUGAG